rnacentral:ncRNA from 2 species
CUUUUAUCAAGAGAAGGUGGAGGGACAGGCCCUUUGAAACCCAGCAACCAUCACUUCCGUGAAAAGGUGCUAACCUGCAGAACAUCUUUGUUCUGGGAGAUAAGAG